GAGGAGAACAUCACGACCCUCAUCGCGGUGCUGAUGCAUGUGGAGGAUGAAGACCUGGAGGUAGCACAGGCUGUGAAGGACAAUCUGAGCCUCCUGGCGGAAGCCCUCCUAUGGCACCUGGAGGGCAAGCUGCUGGCGCGGGACUCUUAUAGCCUGCAGGAGCUGCUCCACAAGAUCGCCAAGCGUCUGAUUCGGCAGCUCGGCACAGAGGACGCCGUGGAGAUGGAGGCCACCAAGAUCCUG